UGUUGGCAGUUUUUCUCUUUCCCUCUCCCUCUUUUAUAGGGUCACUGCCAAAAAAAACACAGCUUUGAAUCCAUUCUUAGUUACCUUAAACAUUCCUGUUAUAUUUUUCUACCUUUGUGACUUUUUUUUUGUCAGCAUUUGUAUGCCUUAGGAGGGAUUGAUUUGUUUUGAAAAUUCCUCUCAAUGUGUGAGAAGAUUGAAAAUCAUAUGCAAUUUAGGUUAAAGUUAAAGUUGUAUCUUUAAAUCUUUAUGUUUGAGUCAACAUCUUUUAUCCAUCCGAUUUGUCAGUGAAAAGUGAGCUUAAAAUCAACUGCAGUAAAAUACAAAUGGUUGAAGCAGAUGCAGUACAGUUUGCCCAUAACUAUCUUCAGUGACAAAAGCUGUAGUGGGAGGGAAAGAUAACUUUUAAAAUUUCUAAGCAUGGGCUUCCUUCCUAGUCUCUGCUCCCUAUCUAUAAGGUUUUUCAGAAAUUUGAAAAAACAAGAAACUGAAACACCAAAAUAUCAAGAACUACACAGUAAGAGAGCUAAGAUAAGGCAAUAUGGCUUCCAUUGCCAUUUCUGCUUCUUUGCAAAUAGUGUGUGGCUCUGGUUCACAACAUGUAACUAAGAAACAACAACCUCAGGCCAGACCGCCUCGCGCUCUGGGGACUAAAGAGGCCACUCAUGUUGUUGCUCUCAAUGUGGAAGCUCAAAAUGGUUUGAAACUAGCAGAACAAGAGAAGUCCAGUUCACUUGUAGAUAGGCCAGAGGCAGAGAGUGGUGCUGACUAUAAAUCGAAGCACGCUUUGGAUACAGAAUAUCUUCUGUGAAAUUUAGUGAUGAGAGGUGGAAGAAGGGGACAUGGGAUUUGAAUAUGUUCGCCAGAGACGGCAAAAUGGACUGGGAUGGUAUCAUUGAAGCAGAAGCAAAGAGGAGGAAAUUUCUUGAACUUCAUCCAGAAGCUUCUACCAACGAUGAUCCAGUACUGUUUAGGACCUCCAUCGUUCCUUGGUGGGCAUGGAUAAAGAAAUCACAUCUCCCAGAGGCUGAGCUGAUCAACGGUCGAGCAGCAAUGGUUGGGUUCUUCAUGGCAUAUGUAGUAGACGCUUUGACAGGGGUUGGCGUAGUUGGACAAACUGGUAACUUCAUAUGCAAGGCAGGGUUGUUGGCGACAGUGAUUGGUAUAAUACUGUUCAGGCGGACCGACGAUUUCAAUAACCUUAAGAAGCUAGCAGAUGAGGCUACUUUCUAUGAUAAGCAGUGGCAAGCUUCUUGGCAAGAAGAAAAUCAAAAUGGAACGAGUGGCUCUACAGAGAAAUCUGGAAGCAAGAGUUAG